rnacentral:rRNA from 1 species
UACGGAGGGUGCAAGCGUUAAUCGGAAUUACUGGGCGUAAAGAGUUCGUAGGCGGUUUGUCGCGUCGUUUUGUGAAAACCAGCAGCUCAACUGCUGGCUUGCAGGCGAUACGGGCAGACUUGAGUACUGCAGGGGGAGACUGGAAUUCCUGUGUAGCGGUGAAAUGCGCAGAUAUCAGAGGACACCGGUGCGAAGGCGGGAUCUCUGGGCAGUAACUGACGUGAGGAGCGAAAGCAUGGGGGAGCGAACAGG